rnacentral:lncRNA from 1 species
ACGGCACUGCUGGCCGGACGAGGGAUGUUAUUUUGGGCAGUGCAUCUGGACUUGGUUCAAGUGGCACCAGCCAAACCCCUGCCUUACUGACCUCUCCCCUGAAGGAGCAGGAGCAGCACUCGAGGCCGCCCUGGGAGAGCUGAGAGGCAGGCUCUGGACUGGGGACACAGGGAUAGCUGAGCCCCAGCUGGGGGUGGAAGCUGAGCCAGGGACAGUCACGGAGGAACAAGAUCAAGAUGCGCUGUAACUGAGAAGCCCCCAAGGCGGAGGCUGAGAAUCAGAGACAUUUCAGCAGACAUCUACAAAUCUGAAAGACAAAACAUGGUUCAAGCAUCCAGGCACAGGCGGUCCACCCGUGGCUCCAAAAUGGUCUCCUGGUCCGUGAUAGCAAAGAUCCAGGAAAUACUGCAGAGGAAGAUGGUGCGAGAGUUCCUGGCCGAGUUCAUGAGCACAUAUGUCAUGAUGGUGAGUGGGUGGGCAGCACGAAGUGGGUGGGGCUCCGCCAGGGCCGUCCAUGACCCCCUCCCCAUGCUGACCCCAUAGGUCACAUUGUCCAUUCCUUGCCUCUGAGCUGGGAGCCUG